AGUGAACGCUGGCGGCGUGCUUAACACAUGCAAGUCGAACGAGAACGGGUUAUAGCUUGCUAUAAUUGUCAGCUAAGUGGCGCACGGGUGAGUAAUGUAUAGGUAACAUGCCUUCGAGAAGGGGAUAACGUUUGGAAACGAACGCUAAUACCCUAUAUGCCUUUAAGUCUUAAGACUGCAAGGGAAAUAUUUAUAGCUCGAAGAUUGGCCUGUACAGUAUCAGUUAGUUGGUGAGGUAAUGGCUCACCAAGACAAUGACGCUUAACUGGUUUGAGAGGAUGAUCAGUCACACUGGAACUGAGACACGGUCCAG
rnacentral:rRNA from 1 species